GAGGGGAGAGCAGGAUCCUGGGCUGUGUCCCCCUGUGCACUGGGCUCGCUGCUGGAAUCGCGCUCCCGGGGCCGCGCAGCCCCCU
rnacentral:pre_miRNA from 1 species